AGGGAUCAUUAUAGAGUGUUACAACUCCCUAAACCCACUGUGAAUCUACCAUAAGUUGCUUCGGCGGGCUCGCCCCGGUGCCUCUGUGCCCGGACUCGGCGCCCGCCGGAGGCCCCAAACUCUCGGUUUUAUACUUGGCUUCUGAGUGGCGUAAAGCAAACAAAUAAAUCAAAACUUUCAACAACGGAUCUCUUGGUUCUGGCAUCGAUGAAGAACGCAGCGAAAUGCGAUAAGUAAUGUGAAUUGCAGAAUUCAGUGAAUCAUCGAAUCUUUGAACGCACAUUGCGCCCGCUGGUAUUCUAGCGGGCAUGCCUGUUCGAGCGUCAUUUCAACCCUCAAGCCCCCGGGCUUGGCGUUGGGGAUCGGCCGGGCCCUUCGGGGCGCCCCGGCCGCCCCCGAAAUCUAGUGGCGGUCUCGCUGUAGCUUCCUCUGCGUAGUAACUCACCUCGCUCUGGAAGUCGGCGCGGCCACGCCGUUAAACACCCCACUUCUCAAGGUUGACCUCGGAUCAGGUAGGAAUACCCGCUGAACUUAA
rnacentral:rRNA from 1 species